GAUGAAGAACGCAGCGAAAUGCGAUAAGUAAUGUGAAUUGCAGAAUUCAGUGAAUCAUCGAAUCUUUGAACGCACCUUGCGCCCUUUGGCCAUUCCGAAGGGCAUGCCUGUUUGAGUAUCAUGAACACCUCAACUCUUCAUGGUUUUCCGUGAUGAGCUUGGACUGUGGGGGUCUUGCUGGCCUAUGGUCAGCUCCUCUAAAAUAAAUCAGCUUGCCAGUGUUUGGUGGGUAUCACAGGUGUGAUAACUAUCUACGCUUGUGGUUUUCCACCAGGUAACCUUCAGCAGUGGAGGUUCGCUGGAGCUCACAGAUGUGUCUCUCCUCAGUGAGGACAGCUCUUUGAAUGUUUGAUCUCAAAUCAGGUAGGACUACCCGCUGAACUUAAGCAUAUCAAUAAGCGGAGGA
rnacentral:misc_RNA from 1 species